rnacentral:rRNA from 1 species
CGGACGGGUGAGUAACACGUGGAUAACCUACCUAUAAGGCUGGGAUAACUUCGGGAAACCGGAGCUAAUACUGGAUAAUAUAUUGAACCGCAUGGUUCAAUAGUGAAAGACGGUUUUGCUGUCACUUAUAGAUGGAUCCGCGCCGCAUUAGCUAGUUGGUAAGGUAACGGCUUACCAAGGCAACGAUGCGUAGCCGACCUGAGAGGGUGAUCGGCCACACUGGAACUGAGACACGGUCCAGACUCCUACGGGAGGCAGCAGUC